GGUCUGGUGGUGUAGUUGGUUAUCACGUCAGUCUAACAGUUUGAGAUCUUCUCAUCGAACUCUCCCCCUGUUUCACUGAAGGUCUCCGGCUCAAGUCCGGGCUAGAUCA